GGUUCCGUAGUGUAGCGGUUAUCACGUUCGCUUUACACGCGAAAGGUCCCCGGUUCGAUCCCGGGCGGAACCA